CAAUAGCGUAUAUUUAAGUUGUUGCAGUUAAAAAGCUCGUAGUUGGAUUUCGGAUGGGACUUGCCGGUCCGUCGUUUCGAUGUGCACUGGCCAGUCCUAUCUUGUUGUCGGGGACUAGCUCCUGGGCUUCACUGUCCGGGACUAGGAGCUGACGAGGUUACUUUGAGUAAAUUAGAGUGUUCAAAGCAAGCCUACGCUCUGAAUACAUUAGCAUGGAAUAACACGAUAGGACUCUGGCUCAUCUUGUUGGUCUGUGAGACCAGAGUAAUGAUUAAGAGGGACAGUCGGGGGCAUUCGUAUUUCAUUGUCAGAGGUGAAAUUCUUGGAUUUAUGAAAGACGAACUUCUGCGAAAGCAUUUGUCAAGGAUGUUUUCAUUAA
rnacentral:rRNA from 1 species